rnacentral:rRNA from 1 species
UACGAAGGGGCUAGCGUUGCUCGGAAUCACUGGGCGUAAAGGGUGCGUAGGCGGGUCUUUAAGUCAGGGGUGAAAUCCUGGAGCUCAACUCCAGAACUGCCUUUGAUACUGAAGAUCUUGAGUUCGGGAGAGGUGAGUGGAACUGCGAGUGUAGAGGUGAAAUUCGUAGAUAUUCGGAAGAACACCAGUGGCGAAGGCGGCUCACUGGCCCGGUACUGACGCUGAGGUGCGAAAGCGUGGGGAGCAAACAGG